rnacentral:rRNA from 1 species
CCUGGUUGAUUCUAUCAGAACCAUAUGCUUGUCUCAAAGAUUAAGCCAUACAUGUCUAAGUAUGCAGGGCCGGUACAGUAAAACUGUGAAUGGCUCAUUAAAUCAGUUAUGGUUCUUUUGGUCGCUGGCUCCUCUUCUACUUGGAAAACUGUGGUAAUUCUAGAGCUAUUACAUGCCGAAGGGCACUGACCCCCUUCACGGGGAAGAUGCAUGCAUUUAUCAGAUCAAAACCAACCCAGUCAGCCCCUCUCCGGCCCCGGCCGGGGGGUCGGGUGCCGCCAGCUUUGGUGCCUCUGGAUAACCUCAGGCCAAUCGCAUGCCCCCCGUGGCAGCGAUGACCCAUUCGAACGUCUGCCCUAUCAACUUUCUAUGGUAGUCGCUGUGCCUACCAUGGUGACCACGGGUGACAGGGAAUUAGGGUUCAAUUCUGGAGAAGGAGACUUAGAAACGGCUACCACAUUCAAGGAAGGCAGCAGACACUCAAAUUACCCACUCCUGACACGGGAGGUAGUGACAAAAAAUAACAAUACAGGACUCUUUCAAGGCCCUGUAAUUGGAAUGAGUCCACUUUAAAUCUUUUAAUGAGGAUCCAUUGGAGGGAAAGUCUGGUGCCAGCAGCCAUGGUAAUUCCAGCUCCAAUAGCGUAUAUUAAAGUUGUUGCAGUUAAAAAGCUCGUAGUUGAAUCUUGGGAACGGGUGGGCUAGCGAGCCACAGCCUGUCCCUGCUUCUUGCCUCUCGGUGCCCCCUGGAUGCUCUUAGCUGAGUGUCCUGCGGCCCGAAGCGUUUACUUUGAAAAAAUUAGAGUGUUCAAAGCAGGCCCAAGCCGCCUGGAUACUGCAGCUUGGAAUAAUGGAAUAGGACCACGGUUCUAUUUUGUUGGUUUUCGGAACUGAGGCCAUUAUUAAGAGGGACGGCCGGGGGCAUUCAUAUUGCACUGCUAGAGGUGAAAUUCUUGGACUGGCACAGUUUGGACCAGAGCGAAAGCAUUUGCCAAGAAUGUUUUCAUUAAUCAAGAACGAAAGUCAGAGGUUCGAAGACGAUCAGAUACCGUUGUAGUUCCGACCAUAAACGAUGCCGACUGGCGAUGUGGCAGCGUUAUUCCCAUGACCCGCUGGGCAGCUUCCAAGAAACCAAAGUCUUUGGGUUUUUGGGUUCCGAGGGGAGUAUGGUUGCAAAGCUGAAACUUAAAGGAAUUGACAGAAGGGCACCACCAGGAGUGGAGCCUGCA